GGGAGAGAUGCAAAGAACUUUGAAAAGAGAGUUAAAGAGUGCUUGAAAUCGGCAAGAGGAAA
rnacentral:rRNA from 13 species